rnacentral:rRNA from 1 species
CAGUCGCCGCGGGAAUACGAGGGGGGCGAGCGUUGUUCGGAAUUAUUGGGCGUAAAGGGUGCGUAGGCGGUUCGGUAAGUCUUGUGUGAAAUCUUCAGGCUCAACUUAAAGUCUGCACGAGAAACUGCCGGGCUUGAGUGUGGGAGAGGUGAGUGGAAUUUCCGGUGUAGCGGUGAAAUGCGUAGAUAUCGGAAGGAACACCUGUGGCGAAAGCGGCUCACUGGACCAUUACUGACGCUGAGGCGCGAAAGCUAGGGGAGCAAACAGGAUUAGAUACCCGGUAGUCCCUGUCUCUUAUACA